rnacentral:rRNA from 1 species
CGGCAACAGCUCAAAUUUGAAAUCUGGCCCUUUCAGGGUCCGAGUUGUAAUUUGCAGAGGGUGCUUUGGUGUCGGCCGUGGUCUAAGUUCCUUGGAACAGGACGUCACAGAGGGUGAGAAUCCCGUACGUGGCCGCCGGUCUUCACCGUGUAAAGCCCCUUCGAC